CGGGUGCACUGAUCCAGCCGGGCCUUUCCCUCUGUGGAACCCCAUGGCCUUCACUGGCUGUGGUGGGGAAACAGGACUUUUACUUUGAAAAAAUUAGAGUGCUCCAGGCAGGCCUAUGCUCGAAUACAUUAGCAUGGAAUAAUAGAAUAGGACGUGUGGUUCUAUUUUGUUGGUUUCUAGGACCGCCGUAAUGAUUAAUAGGGACAGUCGGGGGCAUCAGUAUUCAAUUGUCAGAGGUGAAAUUCUUGGAUCUAUUGAAGGCUAACUACUGCGAAAGCAUUUGCCAAGGAUGUUUUCAUUGAUAAGGAACGAAAGUUAGGGGAUCGAAGACGAUCAGAUACCGUCGUAGUCUUAACUAUAAACUAUGCCGACUAGGGAUCGGACGAUGUUAUUCUUUGACGCGUUCGGCACCUUUCGAGAAAUCAAAGUGCUUGGGCUCCAGGGGGAGUAUGGUCGCAAGGCUGAAACUUAAAGAAAUUGACGGAAGGGCACCACCAGGGGUGGAACCUGCGGCUUAAUUUGACUCAACACGGGGAAACUCACCAGGUCCAGACACAGUGAGGAUUGACAGAUUGAGAGCUCUUUCUUGAUUCUGUGGGUGGUGGUGCAUGGCCGUUCUUAGUUGGUGGAGUGAUUUGUCUGCUUAAUUGCGAUAACGAACGAGACCUUAACCUGCUAAAUAGCCCGUACUGCUUUGGCAGUUCGCCGGCUUCUUAGAGGGACUAUCGG
rnacentral:rRNA from 1 species